rnacentral:rRNA from 1 species
UUACCGAAUUGUCAACACGAGUGUUGCUGGUCCCCGAAUGGGGGCCAUGUGCACGCUCUGUUUGUACAUCCACUCACACCUGUGCACCCUCCAUAGUUCUGCAGCCUGGGGGCUCUGUCCCCCCUGCUGUGGCCCUAUGUAUUUACACAUACACACUGUAAUGAAGUCUCAUGGAAUGUGUGACGCGUUUAACGCAAUACAAUACAACUUUCAGCAACGGAUCUCUUGGCUCUCGCAUCGAUGAAGAACGCAGCGAAAUGCGAUAAGUAAUGUGAAUUGCAGAAUUCAGUGAAUCAUCGAAUCUUUGAACGCACCUUGCGCCCUUUGGCUAUUCCGAAGGGCAUGCCUGUUUGAGUAUCAUGAACACCUCAACUCUCAUGGCUUGCCAUGAUGAGCUUGGACCAUGGGGGUCUUGCUGGCCUGCGGUCGGCUCCCCUCAAAUGAAUCAGCUUGCCAGUGUUUGGUGGCGUCACAGGUGUGAUAACUAUCUACGCUUGUGGCUUUCUGCCAGGUAACCUUCAGCGAUGGAGGUUCACUGGGGCUCAUAAAUGUCUCUCCUCGGUGAGGACAGCUCUUUGAACGUUUGAUCUCAAAUCAGGUAGGACUACCCGCUGAACUUAAGCAUAUCAAUAAGCGGAGGA